GACGAACGCUGGCGGCGUGCCUAAUACAUGCAAGUCGAACGCUUCUUUCCUCCCGAGUGCUUGCACUCAAUUGGAAAGAGGAGUGGCGGACGGGUGAGUAACACGUGGGUAACCUACCCAUCAGCGGGGGAUAACACUUGGAAACAGGUGCUAAUACCGCAUAACAGUUUAUGCCGCAUGGCAUAAGAGUGAAAGGCGCUUUCGGGUGUCGCUGAUGGCUGGAUCCGCGGUGCAUUAGGUAGUUGGUGAGGUAACGGCUCACCAGGGCCACGAUGCAUAGCCGAACUGGGAGGGUGAUCGGCCACACUGGGACUGAGACACGGCCCAGACUCCUACGGGAGGCAGCAGUAGGGAAUCUUCGGCAAUGGACGAAAGUCUGACCGAGCAACGCCGCGUGAGUGAAGGAGGUUUUCGGAUCGUAAAACUCUGUUGUUAGGGAAGAACAAGGACGUUAGUAACUGAACGUCCCCUGACGGUAUCUAACCAGAAAGCCACGGCUAACUACGUG
rnacentral:rRNA from 1 species